rnacentral:piRNA from 1 species
UCCGGAGCUGUAAACACUCAACCCUAGAUGC